UGUUCUGUGGUUUAAUUGGUUAAAGCGUCGGUCUAGCGAAUACUGAGUCGUGGGUUCAAAUCCCAUAAGAACGC
rfam:Aedes albopictus isolate Foshan contig88590, whole genome shotgun sequence.